rnacentral:rRNA from 1 species
GUAGGAGGCGAGCGUUAUCCGGAUUUACUGGGCGUAAAGAGGGCGUAGGCGGCUCUUCAAGUCGGAUGUAAAAUCUCCCGGCUUAACUGGGAGGGACCAUUCGAUACUGUCGGGCUAGAGGGCAGCAGAGGGAGGUAGAAUUCCCGGUGUAGUGGUGAUAUGCGUAGAUAUCGGGAGGAAUACCAGUGGCGAAGGCGGCCUCCUGGGCUGUUUCUGACGUUGAGGCCCAAAAGCGUGGGGAGCAGACAGGAUUAGAUACCCUGGUAGUCCACGCUGUAAACUAUGGACACUAGGUAUAGGGAGUAUCGACCCCUCUCUGUGCCGAAGCUAACGCAUUAAGUGUCCCCGCCUGGGGACUACGGCCGCAAGGCUA